rnacentral:rRNA from 1 species
AACGAACGCUGGCGGCAUGCUUAACACAUGCAAGUCGAACGAGCAGGCGGCUUCGUUCCCCGAUGCUCGUGGCGCACGGGUGAGUAACACGCGGGAAUAUGCUCCUUUGUACGGAAUAACCACGUGAAGCUUUUGCUGCUACUAUAUACGCCCUUCGCCGGCAAGAUUUAUCGCUAUAGGAUUAGCCCGCGUCUGAUUAGGUAGUUGGUGCGGUACUGGCUCACCAAGCGGUCGUUCAGUAGCUGGUCUGAGAGGAUGACCAGCCACACUGGGACUGAGACCCGGCCCCGACUCCGACGGAGGGCAGCGGUGGAGAGUAUUAGACGAGGAGGGCAGCCCUGAUCCAGCCACGCCGGGUGAGUGAGGCAGCCCUUCGGAUUGUAAAGCUCUUUGGACCGAGACGAUGAUGACGGUACCCGGAUAAGAAGCCCCGGCAAACUUCGUG